rnacentral:lncRNA from 1 species
AGGUGGAGAAGGGCCGGAAUCGCCGGAGAGUUGGAGAAAUCGCCGGAGAGUGUUUGUUCUGAGAGAGAGAGUCCGCAGAGAUAAAGAAGAAGGAAGAAGGAGGGUUAUUAUAUCCGAGGAUUCCGACGGACACAGGUUCGUCGGUAUUCCGUUGGUAUAAUUAAAAUAUACCAAAUGCCGAUUCGCGAAAAUUUUCAAGUGGUUUGGUUCUCCAGGGCAAAUUGAAUUUCCGACGGAACGUGUCCGUCAGUAUAUUC